rnacentral:misc_RNA from 1 species
CCCGCGUGCGGGAGAAAUAUCCAUUAGAUUAUUCAAUUCUUUUUCCAUAUCAUCGUACUUGAAAACCCAUUUCUGUACUCUAAUGCUCCACAAACAAACCAUCACCUCUGAAACUUCACUCUGUUCUUCACAGCUAACAUAAUCUAGAAGCCUUCAUCUGCAACAAAUUCAUCAAUUUUCAGCUCCUUGUCCCAUGUCUGAUCCUUCGUUCUGCUUACCAUUCACAUUAAUUCUAUAAAGAAAGAAUGCAACCAUUGCGCCACUGAUGACGGUUGAGAAAAAGGUCAAAAUAGAAGCUUUCUGAAACAGCAAUCUUAUCUCCCUAAGAAAGAUUAGGGC